rnacentral:piRNA from 1 species
ACCACCUAGAUAAGUGAGAGCUGA